CUCCCACCCACGUGAAUAUACGCUCCUCCCCCCCCUCCCAACAUGAAUAUUAAUUACUAACAUUUAAAUAUUCGUGAUUUUGAGAGUUAAAAAUGUUGGAUAUUUAUGAGCGGCGAGCCGGAUGUAGUUGUUCACGGGCGUCUUCGGGGAACAGGUCCCUGGCCCAGCGGGUCCCCCCCACACACCACCGCCGUCACGAGAGGGGAAACAAACCGCGAGCGCCACCGUCAAUUUGGUUCCGCGUUGCUCCGUCUCCUUUUUUUACACUUUCUAAGAAUUGCAUUGACGGCGAAUGAGGGGCGGAGUUUUUUUUGUGUGUGCGUUUCGCUCCACUCGGUUGUUUUCUAACAUUGCAGGCUGCUUUGAGGUUUAAACGCAGCUGUUCGUUCAAGCCUCGUUUACGAGUACUUUUUGCAGGGUGGUAAUACACGUCAACAUUUGUCGCGAGUUGCAUUUUGCCGAACAAAGAGCGCGACUCAAAAGCCCCACUUGUCCUCCUAUCCAACCGCACGAUUCCAGCACGGUAUAAUAAAAGGCCGUGUUAUUAGCUAUUUAACAUCUGUUAUUAGCUAUUUAACAUCUGUGUCGAUUCACACGGGGGAUCGAGCCGUUUCGUUGCCGGUACCUUGUGCCGAGGAGGAUACGAGGUAAUAAACAGCGUAACGUUACAUUUACAUAGCGUCUAACAUACAGAUGCAUCUCAAUUUCUCAACACACUAAAAAAAAAACUAUCCACCGUAAGUUAGUCGCUUGUCUAAAAGUGCUCGUUAGUCUUUAACCGGUGACACGUAAACACCUCCGAUUAAGCACCAUUGGCUACGUACUGUGCGAAAGAAGCUUAACAUACAAUACUGUUUUUUUCACUAGGUCCAUCAGCCCGUGGUCAUCAAUCCCUUCUGUGCCAUUCACAAGCAAUUACUUAACUCACCGAGUUUUCAAUUAAAAGUUGGGAAAUGAAAAAUAAACUUCACGCGAACUAUAAACACAAUUUACCUCAAGCCCCGUUUAUAAUUCCCAGCACGCACAAGCGCCACACCGCAUUCCCUCGCCCCAUUGGCUCGACGCCAACGACAGGGCGGCGCCAAGCCCGCGACAGCGGCGCCUCUGAUUCGCCGACGCGCGAAAGCAGUGGCGGGGCCGCCCUAAGCGCACUACGAUUUACAAUUGGCCGUCAACGUCGCCGCUUUGCCUAGUCGUCGAGUAGUCGCGAUCGAUUAUAUUAUCAAUUAACCACAAAUCGGCCCUUUUCAUUUAGACUAAGCUAUUCAAACGAAUGCUUAUUGUCCUCGCGCAGCAUUAGUUAACGCGGGCGGCGCGUGCCGCGUUUGUUUCGUGUGAAGUCCGCUCGUGGAAGGGAGGGAAAUUGGUCUCUCUCUGGCGCCGAAUUAAAAGAUCGCCACUUUUGGUUCGUCGAUACAUCGCCGUGGUUGGCCAUCAGUCGUCUCUGAAUACUUUACAAUACGUAAAUAACUACAGGUAGCGGCGCUCGCACGCACGCACACAUCCGUCUCAAAGGAACACGUACCGGUGGCGACGUUUCGGGCAAGGGCCCUUUGUCUACCGAAGAAAGGGGCCAUUGUGAGUGUUGUUACUUCUCGUGGGUGACGUGGAGAUGGCUUUAGGUGACAACGGAAAAUCCAGGUUCACGAGAUCAAGUUGUCACUUGAUGGAGAUCCAUCGACAUGCUAUGAAGCAACAUUGCCCGAAACGUCGUUUAUUCGAGGCGUAAUGGAUUGUAAGAGGCUGCCUCAUUGGUGACGGGCAUCAGGUCGCGCUGAGGCUGCCCUGUUACUCAGUGGUGCUGCCCUGACUGCCAUGGUUGUCUGAAGCUUGUUUUUGUCAUUGGUUCUGGCCCCUGAGUGUCAUUGCUCUCUCUCUCUCACUCCUCCUUUCCAUGUUUUCCCUGCCAUUACACCCCCUCCCCCACCUUCCUCACUCAUGUAAAGCUUCUUGAAAUGCAGUUCCAUAUAGACAAUAUAAAUGUAAAUUGUUUUUGUUCUGUACUGUGUCAAUAUUCGUUUGUUUGCAAACAGUCUACAGUAGGUGGUAUGUGAGAUACCAUAUUAACAAUAUGAAAAGGUGUAAGGUCCAUUGCUUUGACUGUAUAAUAAAUAACUAUUACUGGUAACCAAGGAUAUUAAAUUGCUUAAAUGUAAACCAUGUAAUCUGCUAAUCGUGUUGAAGUUGGGGAGGAUGAAAGAUGAAUGAAAGGUUGCUGUAUGGUGGGUGAAUGGGCCAAGAGAGAGAGAGAGAUGUUCCUUCUGCCCAACCCUCAACCCUAAGAAUAGAUAAUGCUGUACACAAUGUUUUUAUUGCAGAUGUGCAUCCUGACCAACCAUUUCAAUGCACCCACAUAUUUAAAGAGAAUGAAAGCUCUGCACAACCCAACGACUUAAAGUAUAUUUGAAAAACAUGCAGUAUUUAACGUGAUGCGACUACAUUUAAUUUGUUGAAUUAUCUUAUCGUUUUCAAAUGCAUAUUAUUGAGACUUUGUGGAACGACAUAUCCUUGGGAUAUCAGGUAUAUUUACAUAAUAUAAUUUGGAAUGCAGUAAUGCGACAUAGUUCGCAUUAUGUGGUUUGAGAACGUUCUGUAUAAACAUAUUUUAAAAGGCUGCAUCAUGUAUUGCCAUUACUUGACCACAUGUACAGUUGAAGUGUAUCUUUUCACAUCACUUUAUGAUAUGAUACUUUAGAUUGGUUGCAACAUUUGUUCAAUAUUUAAUCACUGAUCAUUUAGGUUUUGUUUCAAUAAAUGUAUGCUUGCCAAUUUAUUUAAUAUCAAAAGUGACAAAUAUUUAGUUUAGAACUUCAUAGUAACUUUAAAACAGAAACAUUCCUCUGAAAGAACUCCCUUAGCGUAAACCUAUCAAUGCAUGGUGAAUUUUAUAAGCAAAACUUUUUUUAAACACAAAUCUAAUCAAUAAAAAAACAUGAUUUUUUUUAUGAUGCUAAGUGUUAAACUGACAUUCAUAUUGCUUUUAAGCCAUAGUGCGAUACAAAAAUAAAAUGUAAUGUGAAUAAAUCCAUAUCGAGUACAGUAAGCGCAAGAAACUCAGAUAACUUUUUUUUAACCCCCUCUUGUCACUUAACCACCUCUCCUAACCCUUCCUCCACAACUUCUUUGCCAACCUACCCGGCUGAAAUAUCUUUCUCUCCAUUUCACCACACAUUACGGCACGCACAUUGUGUAACAAUAAGUGGUUUUGAAGGUGGUGCCCCAAAAGGGCAUCUUGUGAUAUGCAGACAGGUGUUACAGACACUUGGCAUAGUCAAGUGAAAGUGUCUCUUCAAAUGAACAAAGGAGUGGCUCUCUUCUCUGUUGGUGGUCUUGAAUCAAUAGCAGUAAUUCCACAUUCCCAUGGUGAGAGCCAGUGUUUCAAUAGGACAACCACUUUUGACUUUCCACCAAGUAGUCCUAAUUGUAUUGGCCAGAAUUGGUUAUUUGGGCGCACAGUGGUUAAACUUGUGCCUCGUAGGAAGAAGUGACUGAGUUUGAUUCCAGAUUCGGUAACUUUUUUUGUGUGGCGUUUAUAUGUCCUCUCCCUGUUCCACAUGGGUUUCCUACAGGUUCUCUGGUUUUCUGACAAAGCUAUACAAACAUACGCUGCAACUGGUUAUUCCUCAAAUUCCAUUGCUGAAAAAAUAUCCGGGAUCUCACAAAGCAACAUUGCUCACUACUGCACAAACUUGGAAGGACCCUGCUGAAACUAAUCAUGAGACCUAGUAGGGAUUCCUUGUUAAACAUAUAAUUCAUUGGUGUGAUUUAUUCAAUUGUAAGUUACAACUAUUAGUACAAUGAUUUUAACACAACUAUUGCAUUGUAUUUAUCAUUUUAUCAUAGGCAACUUUACCACCAUGACAAUAAAAAAUAUUAUACACUGAUGCGUGUAGUAAUACACAGUUUUAUACCUGUAUAAAGUAACGGGCUACUGUUUCAGAUAUUGGUCCUUUUUCAGAGCAUUGCUAUAACUUUGUUAGCAUGUACUUCAGCCUCAGUGACAAAAAUCGUUGACAUUUUACUCUAUGCCAUCACACCUGACUGGAAACAGAGGUGUAAACAAAGCAAUGCGUGGUGUUAUGAGCAAGAAGACAGCCAUGUGUUGAUCAGCACAUUGUCCUGACGCAAUUGGUUUUCAGCUUUGACAAGCAAAAUGUAAUCAUGGAUGACAUCCCAAAGUCAUUCCUCAUGCAUCUUGUCACCGCUGACUUUUCUGACCCCAUCCUUGGUGGGCGUGGGUCAUGCGACCAGAGUCAAAGGUCAUGGUAAAAGUGCUCUUUAGAGGGAAGACUAGGCAGACUGGCUGUUGCCUGCGGGGAAUAAAGAAACGAGUGCUGAUUGCCAGGAUAAAUAAACAGCACUUUUCGUCUUUCAAAUUCUGGACAUUGUACUGUAUUUGAUCAAUGUAAAGCUUAAAAUAUGCAACAAAUAUCCUUACUACAAUGUUAAAUAAAAAAAAGAAAUCCUGAUGAGCCUACUUACAAUUCUUCUCAAAAUGUUACAUUAUUAUGAAGAUUGUGUAUAUUUAUACUAAACUGGGUAAGACUUGUAAUCCUUUUUUUAUCACGAUUUUUCAAACAUUACUUCAAAAUUAGUUUUUUAGUGAGUUAAUUUAAAUAAUGUAAUUGUCAGCAUGCAGACUUCGAAGGGUUGGGUAAAAAAAAAAAGUUCAUUCAAAGCAUGUCGGUGUCUGCUGUACUUGCCACAAGCAUUCAACUCAUUUAAGCAACAGAUAAUUUUCUUUUCGCAUUCUGCCAGUGGCUCGAGAGGCCAUCUUGGGGCAAGCAGUUUACGAGGCAACUUCAUGAUGAUGAAAACACACAGUGCUAUAUCCAGCCACUUUGACACUCAGAGUCAAAUAAUAAGCACGUGUUAUGAAGUCAAUUGAUCCCAAGCCUGGAAAUGAGGAUGUAAAGUCAUUAUUAUAUAUGUUUAACUGGGAUUGUUUGGAAUCUUGGACCAACAUCCUUGGUCUGGUUAAGUCGAGUAUUAACCAUGCUGCCAAUGUUCCAUUUUAUUUGAGUAUAAUUAAACUAAAACGUUUCCUAAGCAAAGUGCAGCAUUUUAACAUUGUUAUUUUAUAUAUAAAAAACCCACCUGGCACAUAAUUUUUGCCAAGGCCAGCAUUAUAUUGUACAUUUGUUUGUCAUUUGAUUAAUCAGCAAAAAAAAAACCCUUAUCAUGGUUCUGGCAGACACGGCCAACAUCACAUUGCCUUUGUCUCCCCGCGAAUGAGUGAGAGCAACCUGACCUCCGUGCUAUGUUGGCCGAUGUCACGGCAGCGAUCAAGCACAAAGCAAGGCUGAUUGUUUACUCGCAGGCAGUGAGGAAUGAAAAUAAACGUGCCUUUGCUGGGACUUGUCACUUUAUCAGCGGGGGCACUGCUGCUGAUGUCCACUGCUGUAGUUCCCACUAUUUGCCUGUGAUGUGUGUGUGUACUUGGAAGAUGUAUUAACUUGACUGACUGCCUUACUACAAGGUCAAUGCUUGGAGCCAGUUACUCUGGAAGUGAUCGGUCAGAGCAGCUGCGUCUCUUAUGAGAUGAUAGUCCUGGGUGGUUAUUCCGUGUUUUUUUUGUGAUUAGAAAAAAACAUUCAAUUUCAGCGUGGCUCUUUAAUUCCAAGCUCACUGAGUCAUUUCCAAUUCAAACUGUCAGCUCAGCAAC